AGAAGACACACAGGUAAAACUUUAUAUUGUGAGAGAUAUGAAAUACAGCAUCCUUUCAAGGAUGAAUUCGGUGCUACUUUUUAUGGCACUGUGUCAGAAUUGAAGACAACAUAACAGCUGGUGAAUUUAAGUACACAUUAUUUGAAUUAUGUUUGCUCUUUAUGUUUCUGUACAUACAUGAGCAUUUCAGGAAGAAUUAUCUGGGAGAUUCUGACACUGUGCUUUUUCCUGUAGGAGUCAGUAGUAAGCAGAAACAACUCCAAGUUAAUAUUCCUUUAAGGAAGAACAGAAUUAGUAAGAUUUGUUGUCAUUUAAAUUCUAUUAAAAUAUAAAGAGCACCAUCCUAGCUAUGAGAUUGUGCCAUCUGAGGUCCAAAGACUAUAGUCAUGUAAUUAGCAAUACUCGAGGCUACAUCUUAACAAGACCAUCUGGAAACUGAAGCUGUUUCAGAGUAAGGAUAUCCACUUUUCAAUUUCAUGUUCAUGUAAUCAAUCAGUGUGUGUGCUGCACUAGAAGCUUGAUAUUUUCUAGUUGGAGGUUAUUUUUAACCUAUAAAACUCUAGUGCUAAGUUGCCUGCUGCUGGUUAAUAUUUCUAGAAUUAACCUGAGGGUCUCAUUCCUAAGAGAUUUGGUACUUGGUUACCUCAGAGAGGUGUACAAAGCCUAUCUUAAUGUUACCAGCAUAUGAGAAAGAGGCAAAAAUGAAAGAUUUAAGAUGAACAGAUGUUGAGAGAACUUUUAUCAUGAGGUCAGGUAAAUGUCAGGUUUGUUUUACGUGGGUUUUACUUCUGAUAGUGUGCUAGAUAAUGCUCACAAAGGUAUUGGGAAAAUAGAUGGUCCCCUCACAGAAAUUGAGACAAAUAUGUAAAUUACUUCCAAGUAAAUGUUUUCCCUUAAAAAACAGGAAGAAAGUAAAAUCCAAUGCAGGUGCAAUUUCUAGCUCUUUAACUCUGGAUUCCCAAAUUACCUGAUGAAAGCUUUUCAGAGAAAGCUCAAUAACUGCAUAAAAGUCUCCCUUCAUUAUUUGGGGAAACUGCAAAACGGAACCACUCACUCCACAGAUUAACUGGAGGACUAAAAGUAGUUUUUUAUCUAAAGGAAGAGAGAAGAUCUGAUUCUUAUAUUACUUACAUGCAUAUAAAUACGGAGUAAUUUCUCUGAAUCCAAGGGAGUAGUGCCAGUUUAGAAAACAUAUGAAAAAUUGUUAGAGUAGUGCCCAGUGUAAUGCUGUAAAUAUUAUGCAGAUCUAUUUGCAUACAUAAAGUAUUUCUCUGCAGGGUCCAACAUUGACUUUUUUGACCUGCCCUGCAUAAGUACUCUGUCUAUUUAAAUAAUGGAUAAAUAGACACACAACUCCAUAUUUGUCAUUGCACUCAGUAUAGAUGACAAAGGUGACAAAGUAAGUGCAUUAGGAAACAAUGGCUUAUGCAAAAUUAUGUUUUACUUUUAUUCAUAGGUUGAAUCACUAUAAUCCUUAAACUUCAGGGCCAUAUUGUCCCUGAGAUUUGGGAAAUGAGAUGGGAAAUUAAUAUUUCAUUUUAGAUGGAUCAGAGUUUUUCAAUGAGGUGUAAUAUAAUAAUGAAAAAGAAAUGUAGUCGACUGAUAUAUACAGUUGUUUGCCCUUCUGAAAUACAAUUGAAGUGUGCAAUGCCUGAGCAGUGUCAGAGCAGUGGAGCUGUUAUUAAUGGUGGUAUGCAUUCUACUGGGAGGCAGUUCAAAUUACACUGCACAGAGCUCCAAAGCUGUCCCUGCUGCCCUGAUGAUGAAUCUACACUCAUUGCUUUAAAAGGAUCUAAAUUAGGUUGCAUUGAAGGCAGGGAUUUCAAUGCCUGCUCCUCUGCAUUGUAGAGAGUUCCAGUGCAUAUGAAAAAGUAUGACAGUAUGGUGCAUAAAAUGAUAUCAAAGUCCUAUUUUCUAUUUUGUUCACUAGCCCUGAGGUAGUGUUUGCAUAAUAAUGAUUUGUGACUCUGCAUAAUAAUGUUUUUCUGGGAAGGUUUUGAAGUGGAUGCUUAUUACAGUAAGGGAUCCACUGCAUGGUGACUGCAAUAGAACCCAUUCAUGCUGCAGUGGAUGAUGUUCUACAUCAAAAGGCAUUUUAGUUUAAGAUAUGUAUAUGUACAUGUUUGUUUAGUAAACCAGGGCUGAACUGAGUUGCUUUCUUUUUUGUUUCUUUGUUUGUUUGCUUUGUCUUGUUUGGUUUGGGGAUUUUUAUUUGUUUGUUUGUUCGGUGAGUGGAGGGAAAGGUGUGCAAAGCUUUCUUUUAUGUCCUUAGGAUACAAUUGACAAUAUUUGAGCUCAGUAAAGGUCAGUAUUACACAAGUGACAAAUAUACAUGAAAGUGAGGCUCUAAGAAGAUAAUAUUCUGAUCUUUAUGCGACAGACUAGAGUGCAAGGCCUUUUAUAAGACUGCUGUCCCUAUCAGCUCAGGCACUUCCAGCUCCUUUGUGCUGUGUGUAAGGCAUGUAAUGAUUGAUGAUCUUUUCAAUCUGUCUUCUAUUGCUGAGCAUUUGUUACAGGCAACCUUCUGUGAUGACCCACCAAGGACAUGAGUUCCUGACUUCAGCUAGAGAGUCCUGGUUUUUCAUUUUGGUCAGCACUGGCUUGUCGCAAGAUUAAACUUCUGUGUGAUUUCCCAAGAGGGUGUCUAUCUAAACAGCUUGCCUGCCUUUCACCUUCUGUUCUUUGUGUUUGAAGAUCCCCAUCUGUUCCAUGAAGGCACUGCUCCAUUUCUGUUCAGUCUUGUGAAUGAAGUAGUGAAUGAACUGGUAAGAGCAUAACCUCUGAAUUCACCCAGGAUUAAACCCCUGAAACAUCAGAAUAGCUUCUGGGGUUCUUUUGUGUGUGUGUGUGUACGUAUGCGUGUUUGGGUGUAUUUUUGUAGUAGGAUGACUCUUGGGGAGAGAUGAUUCAUCUAAAGAAGUGAUCAACAACUUCCUCAAAGAGUGGCAGUGGAUGGAGAGGUAUUAAUUCCUCUCUCUGGUGACCAGUGGUAGGUAGCUGUGUCAGGGGAAGUUCAGACUGGAUAUUAGGAAGAGGUUCCUGACUGGGAGGGUGGCUGGGUACUGCAACAGGCUCCCCACAGCACCAAGCCAGUCAGAGUUCAAACAGAAUCUGGUCAAUGCUUCUGGUCAUAUUUAUGCUCCUGGUUUACUUUUAGGUAAUUCUGUGAGAGGCAGGGAGAUUAUCUUUACUUGUCUUUUUCAAGUUGAGAAAUUCAGUGAUCAUGUGAUUCUAUGUGGUAAAAAAAAUCCUCUGAAAUGGCAUAAUAAUGUUUUUCCUUCGUCACCAUAGUUUGAAUUCUCUUUAGGGCAAAAUGAAUGAAGAGUUAAAGAAGACACAAUCACCAUAGUAAUUGUUAUAAAUAUUAAAUUAUGGUAUAAAUAUGUAUGUAUCUAAUGCAUUCCAUGACAAAUUCUGCUGUGAAGACUGCAACUUGGAGUUGAUUUCUAUCAUUUAAAAAAGCAUCACUUCCUAUGUAUAAAUGUUUUGAAUAAAUGGAGAAGAAGCAAAAAUGCGGGACCGUGUCUGGCUCAACUGCACUAGCAGCUGUUGUUAAAGAGAUUAAGCCCUAAUCCUUAAGAGGAGGAAGAGACGUUUGGAGUGGAAGAACUGACUUUCUUCAAUCACUGGGAACUACAGACUAAUCUGCCAAGUGGCAGGAAAAAAACAACAAACCAGAGUCUUACUAAAUAGUGCAACUUUAAGAUUUCAGUAGAUACUGCGCCUGAGUUAUGAAAAUGACAGAAUGGAUUCAAGCUAUCUGUUGAUCACUAAGCUGAUGAAAAAUUUAUUUGAAGAUUAGUGAUAUGCAGUACUGUAUGAACAAGAACAGGCAUAGGACAGAUCCUACUGACAGUCCACUUGUCACCCUUCUGCUACAUCUGUGUCCAUUUUAAGACUUUUCUUUGGCUGUCAGCAACACCACUAAGUCAAUUUAUCAUCCAAUUUAGAAUACUAACAUCAAUAAUGCAGUGACUCUCUAAACUCCUGUAGAUUAUUAUGAUUUCAUUAUUUACUUUAUAGCCUUUUGUGCCAGUAGUAAGGAAAAUAUUCCUCAAAUCUGGGUAGCAAGUUGUUGUUGUCUGCUUUGACUUUCAUUAAAAUUUCCUUGCAUGAAGUAGGUAAAAUAUUUUGUAAUAUGUGUAGCUACUAACCAGCCCAAACACUGUACCAUUUUUUUUCUUACUAGAGUAAAGAAGUGUCUUGAAUUCAAUUUCACAUGAACAGUUUUGAAAUAGUUUCUAUUUUUACUGCUUUGGUCAGACUUUGAAUUGGUGUAAGAUUCUGUAGUUCACAGAAGCUCUGCAAGUUCACACUUGGUUAAAAAUGUUUUUUCCCUUAAAUAUGGAGGAGGUUUUGAUUUAUUUCCAGGCUUAACAUGUGUAAAGAUAAUAAAAACAGGAGAUAAUUUCACUGAAGUAUCUCAACUUUCAAAUGAACACUAACAAAUGAAAAAGGAUAUGAAAUGCAGAUCUUAACUUUCUUCAGUUAGCAAUUUAUGAUUGUUUUUCAAAUCUUGCUAUGUUUAGGUUGUCAUUUUCUGUCUUCCUUUAGAAUUCUGAAAAAUAGAAUUCUUUAUUAAAACUUCUAGUUAUGAAUUUUUCAUGUUGGCUGAAUAAAUUAUCUUUGUUUUCAUAAUGAAAAAGAUUUUUAUCUUGCUAAAUAUAAGGUAUUUCAAGUCUAGAAAAUGCACCAAACUCUAACUAAUCAUUCAGCAAAGGACAGCCAAUAAAAUUUUUAUGUCUCACACAGUAAUAUUUAUCCUUACUGGAAAGAAAUCCACAUUAUAAUCUGUCUCUAACAUAGUAAGUGUUGAACAGCUUGAAAAUAACAUUUUCUUUUUUUAACUCAAUGCAUGUCUACAAGCAUCCAAAACGAAGUCUGCAUGAAAAGAAAAGAGCUGUGGAAGAGUUCAAGGAUUUUUUUUUAGGCAUGUUUAAAUAUUCAAAUAACAAAGCUAAAAUUUAGCUGUAAGUGUCCCAUUCUGCAGUGGAUUAAACUACACGUUAUAUUUUUACAUUGCAGUCAGCUUUCCAUAUAAGAUUUUUGCCUUCUUUAAUCACA